rnacentral:sRNA from 1 species
GCUGUGGGAGAGGCACGCCGCUCUCAUCGAACUCAAACAACUUAUCGUAGAUCAUGUAUGCAUGGAUCAACGUGUCGCCGGACGUUGUCACGAUUGGGUCAAUUAUCUUGAGAUUGCCCCCCAUAACUC